AUCGCUUCUCGGCCUUUUGGCUAAGAUCAAGUGUAAAAAUAUAUGGAUUACUAUUUCCAGAGACUUUUUUUUUUUUAAGAAUCUACUAGACAACAAGCUGCAGACAGCAAACAUGACUGUAGAAAUGUUGAAAUAAA
rnacentral:snRNA from 1 species